rnacentral:rRNA from 1 species
ACUAAGCGUACACGGUGGAUGCCCUGGCAGUCAGAGGCGAUGAAGGGCGUGCUAAUCUGCGAUAAGCGCCGGUAAGGUGAUAUGAACCGUUAUAACCGGCGAUACCCGAAUGGGGAAACCCAGUGUGACUCGUCACACUAUCAUUAACUGAAUCCAUAGGUUAAUGAGGCGAACCGGGGGAACUGAAACAUCUAAGUACCCCGAGGAAAAGAAAUCAACCGAGAUUCCCCCAGUAGCGGCGAGCGAACGGGGAGGAGCCCAGAGCCUGAAUCAGCAUGUGUGUUAGUGGAAGCGUCUGGAAAGGCGCGCGAUACAGGGUGACAGCCCCGUACACAAAAGCGCAUGUGCUGUGAGCUCGAUGAGUAGGGCGGGACACGUGGUAUCCUGUCUGAAUAUGGGGGGACCAUCCUCCAAGGCUAAAUACUCCUGACUGACCGAUAGUGAACCAGUACCGUGAGGGAAAGGCGAAAAGAACCCCGGCGAGGGGAGUGAAAAAGAACCUGAAACCGUGUACGUACAAGCAGUGGGAGCCCCACCACCAAAGCAUUUGCUGUACCGCGUUGACGGAGCGAAGCGACGUCAAACCGAUAAAACAGCAGUGUAAAGUGAGCCGCAGGGCGCUUUGCGCGACAGCGCAAAGGCAGGCGGUUUCGCGUAGCGAAAGCGAAUGCUUUGGGGUGGGGUGACUGCGUACCUUUUGUAUAAUGGGUCAGCGACUUAUAUUCUGUAGCAAGGUUAACCGAAUAGGGGAGCCGGAGGGAAACCGAGUCUUAAUUGGGCGUUAAGUUGCAGGGUAUAGACCCGAAACCCGGUGAUCUAGCCAUGGGCAGGUUGAAGGUUGGGUAACACUAACUGGAGGACCGAACCGACUAAUGUUGAAAAAUUAGCGGAUGACCUGUGGCUGGGGGUGAAAGGCCAAUCAAACCGGGAGAUAGCUGGUUCUCCCCGAAAGCUAUUUAGGUAGCGCCUCGUGAAUUCAUCUCCGGGGGUAGAGCACUGUUUCGGCUAGGGGGCCAUCCCGGCUUACCAACCCGAUGCAAACUGCGAAUACCGGAGAAUGUUAUCACGGGAGACACACGGCGGGUGCUAACGUCCGUCGUGAAGAGGGAAACAACCCAGACCGCCAGCUAAGGUCCCAAAGUCAUGGUUAAGUGGGAAACGAUGUGGGAAGGCCCAGACAGCCAGGAUGUUGGCUUAGAAGCAGCCAUCAUUUAAAGAAAGCGUAAUAGCUCACUGGUCGAGUCGGCCUGCGCGGAAGAUGUAACGGGGCUAAACCAUGCACCGAAGCUGCGGCAGCGACACUGUGUGUUGUUGGGUAGGGGAGCGUUCUGUAAGCCUGUGAAGGUGUGUCGUGAGGCAUGCUGGAGGUAUCAGAAGUGCGAAUGCUGACAUAAGUAACGAUAAAGCGGGUGAAAAGCCCGCUCGCCGGAAGACCAAGGGUUCCUGUCCAACGUUAAUCGGGGCAGGGUGAGUCGACCCCUAAGGCGAGGCCGAAAGGCGUAGUCGAUGGGAAACGGGUUAAUAUUCCCGUACUUGGUGUUACUGCGAAGGGGGGACGGAGAAGGCUAUGUUGGCCGGG